rnacentral:rRNA from 1 species
UACGUAGGGGGCAAGCGUUGUCCGGAUUUAUUGGGCGUAAAGAGCGUGUAGGCGGCCAAGCAGGUCAGCUGUGAAAACUCGAGGCUCAACCUCGAGACGUCGGUUGAAACCGCUUGGCUAGAGUCCGGAAGAGGAGAGUGGAAUUCCCGGUGUAGCGGUGAAAUGCGCAGAUAUCGGGAAGAACACCCGUGGCGAAGGCGGCUCUCUGGGCCGAUACUGACGCUGAGGAGCGAAAGCGUGGGGAGCGAACAGG